CCCCCCCUUAAAACCUCUCCCCUCCCUCCCUCUCUCUCUCUCUCUCUCUCUCUCUCUCUCUCUCUCUCUCUCUCUCUCCUUAAAACUCCUUGUAUCUCUCUCUAUCUAUCUCUAUACAUGGCUUAAGAAGUAGACUAUGAAUAGAACCUUAUCUCCUAUCCACACUCCUCUCAUCUCUUCUAUACCCUACACCUUUCCUUCACCUACUCAUUCUCUCCUACCCAUUUCAUUCUAGUUCAUUCCUUGUGUCCCAAAUAUAUAAGCUUUUCCCUACGAGCUAGCUAUAUCCAACCCUCUUGCCCUUAGUUAUGUAAAGAAGGAUUAGAUGUGAGGCCCUAGAAGUGCUCUUUUGUAAACUAGCUUCUUUACUCCAAAAGAAGAGAGAGAGAGAGAGAGAGAGAGAGAGAGCAUUGUUUGCUUAUAAAGCUCAUGCUUGAUGGCUCCUAAAGCUGGAAAAGCCAAGCCUCACAAGCCCAAGGGUGAGAAGAAGAAAAAAGAAGAGAAAGGUAACAAUCUCUCUUCUUCUUCUUUUUUGGUUUUUUUUUUUUAUUUUACUCCUCUCUUCCGACCUCAAUUCUAAUCUCUCUCCACACAUCUCUUACAUUAUCUAUUGGUGUAAAAAAAAAAAAAAAAGUAUGGAGAGUCCUUCAACUUAGUCUUUUAUUCAUAUCCUCUUUUAACUUUUCAUUAAAUUCAUCAAAAAUAUUCUAUCAUGCAUAGUAGUUUUAAUUAUUACUCAGUAAACAAAAUUUAGCAAAGUUGAGACGCUGUUUCAGAAUAGAUUUUGUUUGAGAGAUGUUCAUACAUUUUCAGGUAUUAUUAAACUAUUCAAAAUCUGUACGUAUAAUAUGAAACAUUUUCUCUAAAUGGAUACCAUAAAUUUAAAUUGAAAUUUAAUUUAAAUUGCAGUUUUGCCCACCGUUCUCGACGUUACAGUUGAGACUCCGGAUUACGCACAGCUCACGCUUAAGGUAAUAAUUUAUAAUAUAUAUUGCAGUUCUUAUUAUUAUUAUUAUUAUUAUUAUUAUUAUUAUUGUUUUAACACAUAAUUUAGAGUGCGUAUGUUAGCAUGGUGCGCCUCCGGCGCACGAUAAGGUCGACGUGUGAACGCCGUGCGCCCUUUUUUGAUGCAGGGGAUAUCGACGGACAGGAUCUUGGACGUGCGGAAGCUCCUCGCCGUACACGUGGAGACGUGCCACCUCACCAACUACUCGCUGGCCCACGAGGUAAAGGCCUGAUGAUCCGACGGUCACUAUUUGCUUUGAGAUUCGAGUUGGUGAUAGUAGGGGUGUGCAUGUACGGAGCAGGUACGCGGAGCGAGUCUGAAGGAGACGGUCGAGAUCGCCUCACUGAAGCCGUGUCAUCUCACCAUCGUUGAAGGUAAUAUCACACGAUCCCCAUUUGCUCUUUUCGCUGGACCUCGUCUACCACGUCAUCCGUGAACCACGCACCCCUCAACACAAGAAAAAAGUCACAUUAGUGAUGUGUUAUCUUUCAACUAAUCAAAUUACUGGCNAAGUAAAAAAUGAGUGACUAGAGUUUGGAUAUGAAUACGAUGAUUUAUUUACCGUAUUCAACUUAAAAAUAUAAAUAUGAUAUUCACAUGACAAGGAGAGAGCCAUAUGUGUAAAUAUAAAUUUGUUAGGGUGAUUUGUAAAAAAAUUUUGUUUUGAGAGGGGCUAAAUGCAAAAAAGCCCUUGAUCCAAUGCUAUAUAAUGAUUUUGAAAAUUGCUGUUGGAUAGCUCGCUACUUUUCUCUCAAAUAAAUAUUGCCCCAUGGUAUGUUAAGUUGAAACGGUGAAAAAUAGAUCUAAAAAAAAAAAAAAACUAAUAUAGGGAAAAAAAAGAACACACUGAAAUUUACGUAGCUCGGUCAUCGGCCUACAUCCACGGACGAAUAUGGAGCAAAGUCUUUUAUUAAUAUCGAAAGCAGAAUACAAAGAAGAUAUCUCUCGAAAGACGCACGCUUCAAUUACAUCCAAAACUGCGAGAUUUGCGUAUGUACAAAAAAAAACUCCAAAGUGGCUCGAUUCUCUCUCAGCGUACAAAACCAACCUUAGGCUUAAUUAGCCCUAGUAUCAUAGCAAAUAAUCUUGUAUCAGUAUAAGUUACAAAUUUCUAAUACGGUAGAUAAAAAUAAAAAAUUAAGAUCGCAUUUGAAAGCAUAAGCAAAUACAGGUCUAACAAGUCCAAACUAAUUGAAAUCUACCAUAUUGAAGACCAAUAUUGUCAUAAGGUAUAGACCGUAUCUAGUAUAAUUGGAUAAGAACUUAAUAGUUGAUACUCGAAAUGUCAAAUUCAAAACCUAAUUGCUUUAUAUUGGAAUUUUUUUGCAAAUAGUCCCCUGAGCAAUUUUUAUUUUAAAAAUAGUCCUAUUAAAAUUAAAAUUGCAAAUAUGGCCCUGUCCCUGCCACGCAAGGGCCACGUCAGCGCCACGUGGGCAGGGCAGGGGCCAAGGUAUUAAGUUGAACACGGUGAAUCAUUCACCGUGUCUAAACACGGUAAAUGGUUCACCGUGUUUCUUACGUAUUUUUUGUAUAUUGAAAAGUGGAAUAAGGAGUAGGGAUAUCAAUAGGUAUGGAUAUCCGAAAUAUUAUCCGAAUUCAAACAUGUUUAUAUUUCCCCGAAAAAAAUGUAAAUCUGGGGACUGUUUAAAAAUAAAAUUUUUAUCGGGANNNNNNNNNNNNNNNNNNNNNNNNNNNNNNNNNNNNNNNNNNNNNNNNNNGAAUAAAAAUUAUUAAAUAUUUUAUAUAUUGUAUAAAUAAACAAAAAUAAAUUAUGUAUAUAUAUAUAAUUUAUUCGGGUUUGAAUUCGGAUAAUAUUUCGGAUAUCCAUACCUAUUGACAUCCCUACUCCUUAUUCCACUUUUCAAUAUAUAAAAAAUACGUAACAAAAAAUACGUAUUAAACACGGUGAACCAUUCACCGUGUUUGAACACGGUGAAUGGUUCACCGUGUUCAACUUAACACACGGGCUGCCCGCGUGGUGCUGACGUGGCGCCUGCGUGGUAGGCCUAGGGCUAUUUUUGCAAAUUAAAUUUUGACAGGGCUAUUUUUAAAAUAAAAAUUUGUCAGGGGUCUAAAUGUAAAAAAAGCCCCUUUAUAUUUGUAGCUGAGUUUAUAUUUUUCUUUAAAAAAAAACCUACCGAAUAACUUGCUAUAUUUCUUUAAAAAAGUUUUUAACCUGCAGGAGCAUACAUACACACAGACAUGCAAUUCGACAAUGUGGAGUACUCAAACAGUCACUUACCUUGGAUAAGAGAUAGAAGACUCCAAAGAGAACAGCUUGGCCCCCAUGCAGUCAAAAGGAGAUAUGGGAUUUGAGAAGAUUAGUGGAGGGGCAUAAGAGAGACAGAUAGAGCUAGAGAAAUGUAUGGAUUUGAUAGGGAGAGGUUAUUUUUUUGGCUCAAUAAGAUGAUGAGGGGGAGGUGGGUCUCUCUCCCCCUUAAAAUGAGAGGCUCCAAUUCCCCCUCAUCACCCCCCCCUUAAAACCUCUCCCCUCCCUCUCUCUCUCUCUCUCUCUCUCUCUCUCUCUCCCUCCUUAAAACUCCUUGUAUCUCUCUCUAUCUAUCUCUAUACAUGGCUUAAGAAGUAGACUAUGAAUAGAACCUUAUCUCCUAUCCACACUCCUCUCAUCUCUUCUAUACCCUACACCUUUCCUUCACCUACUCAUUCUCUCCUACCCAUUUCAUUCAAGUUCGUUCUUUGUGUCCCAAAUAUAUAAGCUUUUCCCUAUAAGCUAGCUAGCUAUAUAUCCAACCCUCUUGCCCUUAGUUAGAUGUGAGGCACU
rnacentral:lncRNA from 1 species